rnacentral:rRNA from 1 species
UACGUAGGGUGCAAGCGUUGCUCGGAAUUACUGGGCGUAAAGCGUGCGCAGGCGGUUUUUCAAGACAGAUGUGAAAUCCCCGGGCUUAACCUGGGAAUGGCAUUUGUGACUGGAAGGCUAGAGUGUGUCAGAGGGGGGUAGAAUUCCACGUGUAGCAGUGAAAUGCGUAGAGAUGUGGAGGAAUACCGAUGGCGAAGGCAGCCCCCUGGGAUAACACUGACGCUCAUGCACGAAAGCGUGGGGAGCAAACAGG